GCAUGUCUCUCUCUCUCCAAGACACCAUUCUUCAUUUUCUCUUCCAACAAAUCCUCUUCAAAAAAAUCAAGGAAGACCAGAGUAGACAGUCUUGAUAUUACAAAGACAAAAAAAAAAAAAAGGACAGAAAAAUCCCCCCCACAUCCAGGCCCUCUCUUAAACAUCACAGAAAAGCAAACCAUCUAGCCCACAGAGAGGGAAACUGGAAUUUCCAUGUGAAAAACUGAGAUCCUUGUCCCAGAGAGGGAGUUAGUGAAUAAGUGAUUCAUCCCUAAAGAACUACUAAAGCAAUACAAAAGGACCGGUGUUGUUGAGCAAGCCACAGCGCUCUUAAAACAGAUGGAUGAAGAGCACCUGGAGAGAUGGAAGGAAACAGUGGAGGGGCUGAACUGCACACAUUCCAGCAGGAAAGCAUGGGCCCUGCUUCGUCAUCUGGGAGCAGCUGUGCCACCAAAGCUAUGAUCACCAGUGGUAACUGCCAACCAAGUUGCUUCCCAUCUCUUCAGAACGUCAAAGAUGUCACCGGACAAAGACAGCAGGCGAGAGAUCAAAAGGGAAUACACCUAGAGCUUCCAGUGAUGUCCAGAAUCCAGUGUUUUCUCUGCUCCAUACACAGAAGAAAAAAAUUAAAAUAGCAUUAGCAGCUACAAAGAACAAGAAAGCCGCUGGCGCGGAUGGAAUAUUCCCCAAGUUUCUGAAGAACUUAGGAAUGAAGGGGAGGAACUGGCUGGCUGCACUCUUCACAUCUAUCCACCAAACAAGCAGCCUCCCUACAGAAUGGAAGCAAGCAAAGGUGAUUGCAAUUCUUAAGAAUGGAAAACUACCAGAUAGCGCCUCAAGGCUACAGACCAAUAGCACUCCUUUCCAUUACCAGCAAAGUCAUGGAGCAAGCACUGUUGGCUCGUUUGUCUGCCACCAUAGAGGCUGGGCUAUUAAAGUAUCGGGGUAGUUUUAGGCUAGGCAGAAGUACGUGCGACCAGGUGUUGGCCCUCACAACCACAACUGAAGUUGGCUACCAGGCAAAAAUGAAGACUGGCAUAGCUCUUGUCGAUCUGUCAGCUGUAUAUGACACAGUGUAGCGCAAGGGACUACUAUGCAAACUAUCAAGGUUGGUUUAGUGCUGGCCAACACUUCGGCUAUUGUCAGCAAUGCUUGGCGACCGCCGGUUUCGCGUGCACCUCAAUAAUAGCAUUAAUAGACCCAGAACACUGAAUAACAGGUCUCCCUCAGGGCUCCAUACUGGAACUAUCGUUAUUAAACUUAAUUCAUUAGUGUAUGGAAAGAGUUUUGAGAUCUUUGAAGCUGAAGCUGAAAAAUAUUAUUAUUAACAUAAUAAUAUAUCAUAAUAAUUCAAUAUACCAGUUAUCAGAUAUGACUUUUCUGACUAAACUAGCGCAGACCUGCUCCUUGUAUUGACUCAUUAGCAAAACUCUGCUUUUGAUUUUAGAGGGCCUGAGUUUUUAUCUGGUUGAAGCUGCAGGAGCAGAGAAUUAGGAUUUGGUUAUUCUAUAAGCUUAGUAUUCAAACCUCGGCACUCAGUUGCCUUUAGCAUCUUCCAGCUUCAGGGAAGCAUCAUGCAGUUGUUGUGAAUGUAAGAAGCAAACAGACCACAAAAUCCUGAAAAUUUAACUAUGAACCAGAAAUUUACAUAUUGGCCUGAUCCUGUAAAGUGCUGAGUCCCCUCAAUUAUACUGGAACCAAUUCAUCUGUAACCUAAAUCCAUCAGCUACAAUGUUGCACUCAAAGUCCCAGUGGCAUUUCAAACCAGUCUUGGUACACUAUUUCCUUAUAAAGAUUUUGAGAUCUUGACUUCAGUGGGACACAAAGGUGCUUGGCACUUUUGCAGGAGAGGGCUUUAAGUCAUUGUUCAUCAGACAAGUAUCCAUAGUACACUUGGCUUUCACCCAGCUAGGUGUGGAUCACAGCAGUUGUCAUUGGUUUCUCUAGAGAAAGAAAUCAAGAGGAAAGUUCAUUGUUUCCCUGACAAUUUGCAAGAAUAUCUGAAUUAAAAAUGGAAGUUUUGUCAUUUGCAUGGCAAAAGGAGAGGGGAAAAAGAGGAAGUAUUGUUAGGUGUUGGUAAUGUAAAAACAUAAGUAUGCUGUUAUUUAUGUAAUUAGUUAUUGCUUUCAUUAUGGGUGCAGUCUUAAUGGUUAUAGUAUUUAUGUAUAAUUACCUUAAUAUUCACUGAAAUUUCCAAGUAGCUCCCUAAUUAACUGUCUCAAAUAUAUAAUUACAUUGCAUCUUUACGCAAGACUUGCCUAAUUAAUGUAGUUACACCACUUCUUUUGUGAAUGUGCAUUAUUAAAUGCUCUUUGCAUCAUUCUUCUGACUUCUUGUAAUUCACGCUUUACAAAAAUUAAGACCUUGAAUUAGAAACCUCCAUGAGCAACCAACUCCAAAAGCAAGAGCCAGAUGACACCUUUUCUUGGGGGGGAAGAGAAAAAAAUUCUUACUAAGCCUCAUUACCACUUCCCAUUACAAAAGCUUUCCAUCUGGAUGUGAAAGAAAUCCCAGGUAACAUUGUUUAAGAGGAGAUAGAAAAUACUCACUGGGGUUUGAAGAGAAGAUCUAACUGGCAUAAAUGGCUCCAAACUUUGAAAGGCCUUCUUCCCCUGUCAAAAGUCUCUUGUCAGGGGCCUGAGUUAUAAUACGCUACUGCCCCAACAACUUAAUAAACAGUCUGCGGGAUUUUCAAAAGCACACUGCCUUAAUAGCCACAGGGCUUACGAAAUCGAGGGGAUAGGGAGCUCACUAGUACUAUCUGCUGGUGAAAGGGCAAGCAGACAUGCCCUAGGGGAAGGACCUGCCUGCCACCAUCCGUUGGUAAACCCAAGAAAGAAUGGCCAAGGUCAGCUUCGCAAGCUGUCCACACAGAAGUCUAGAUAGAUAAAAGCUCCAGAAGGGGAGGAAUUCUCCACCUCUGCCUGUUGGUCAGCAGUGGGAAGUACAGCUACAGAAUGUAUUUGCAUAAUAAGCCUAUAUGCAGAAUUUCCCCAUGAAGCACACUGGUGACUUAGCAGAAUUAUACAUGGACUCUGAAUUGAUUUGGGUAGUGGAAUAAACCUGGGAAGAGAGGGAGGGAAAAAAGGAACUUGAGGUUCUGAGGACUCUGCUUAAGAGUUCUCCAUGUCAUUGCUCCCCUUUACCAAAGAUUUUACAAAGCGAUGAUACAGAGGUGACUGCACAACAAGAGUUGAUAACACAGAGGUGGCUUUGAGCAGAAGCCACAGCAGAUGGUAACAGAGCUGAAUGAACUCUAGUGGAAGUAACACCAAUGUGAUGUUGCACCCCCGUAUUCUUUGUGGAAAUAUGCUUUUAAAUAUGAAUAUAACUAACUCAAAUAUGCAAAAUAUUGCAUGUAACCUAUAUUGGAAAGCUUGUAAUCUACUGAAUGCAUCUAGCCUACUUGUGGGCCUGUAUUAUUUCUGUGUUUAAAGUCAGAAAUAUGAAGUGUACAUGUGUUAAAUGGCCCUCAGUUAGUAGGUCUAGGGGUAUGUCUACACUACCCCGCUAGUUCGAACUAGCGGGGUAGUGUAGACAUACCCCUAGACCUACUAACUGAGGGCCAUUUAACACAUGUACACUUCAUAUUUCUGACUUUAAACACAGAAAUAAUACAGGCCCACAAGUAGGCUAGAUGCAUUCAGUAGAUUACAAGCUUUCCAAUAUAGGUUACAUGCAAUAUUUUGCAUAUUUGAGUUAGUUAUAUUCAUAUUUAAAAGCAUAUUUCCACAAAGAAUACGGGGGUGCAACAUCACAUUGGUGUUACUUCCACUAGAGUUCAUUCAGCUCUGUUACCAUCUGCUGUGGCUUCUGCUCAAAGCCACCUCUGUGUUAUCAACUCUUGUUGUGCAGUCACCUCUGUAUCAUCGCUUUGUAAAAUCUUUGGUAAAGGGGAGCAAUGACAUGGAGAACUCUUAAGCAGAGUCCUCAGAACCUCAAGUUCCUUUUUUCCCUCCCUCUCUUCCCAGGUUUAUUCCACUACCCAAAUCAAUUCAGAGUCCAUGUAUAAUUCUGCUAAGUCACCA